GACAGAGGGUGCAAACGUUGUUCGGAAUUACUGGGCGUAAAGCGCGCGUAGGCGGCAGCGUGUGUCGGGCGUGAAAUCCCACGGCUCAACCGUGGAAAUGCACUCGAAACUGCGCAGCUAGAGUCUCGGAGAGGAAGGCGGAAUGCUUGGUGUAGAGGUGAAAUUCGUAGAUAUCAAGCGGAACACCGGUGGCGAAGGCGGCCUUCUGGACGAUGACUGACGCUGAAGUGCGAAAGCGUGGGGAGCAAACAGG
rnacentral:rRNA from 1 species